rnacentral:rRNA from 1 species
CCCUUAGAUGUCCGGGGCUGCACGCGCGCUACACUGAAGGAAUCAGCGUGCUAAAACCAUUGUCGAAAGGCAUUGGUAAACCCAUUAAAAUCCUACGUGAUUGGGAUCGGGAAUUGCAAUUAUUUCCCUUGAACGAGGAAUUCCCAGUAAGUGUGGGUCAUAAGCUCGCGUUGAUUGCGUCCCUGCCCUUUGUACACACCGCCCGUCGCUGCCCGGGACUGAGCCGUUUCGAGAAAAGCGGGGACUGCUGCUGUCGGGGCUUUCGGGCCUUGGCUUCGGUGGAAACCGCUUUAAUCGCAGUGGCUUGAACCGGGCAAAANUCGUANCA